GAUGAGAGGAGUCUGACUGUAACUGAGAAAGCCUCUCUGUCCCUUGAUCAUUUCUGGUGGCGUGUGGGGCAGGGAUCCCACAUCCAACAGGCUCCUCACCCACCUGGAAAACACGUCUGGGGUGAAGCUCUUAUUCUGGACUCCCUCACACUGCAGGGCAGCUAUAGUUGGCCAAGGACGGUGAACUCCAGCCCCUCUGGCAGUGUUUGUAUGGAGUCCAAUAUAAAAGGUCUGCAGAUGGAAGUGUCUGAGACCUGCACUCAGUGUCUUUCGCGCCUGUUCUCUGUUCUCAAACUGGAUAAAGCAGAAAUUGCCCCCUUACAUUCUCCUCUGGAGAAGCCUUUAACCCACUUCACACCUCUCUUUAAAUUUAAACUCUGUCUUGAGGAUGUAAAUGCAUUUACUCUCUCCAAUGUGGCAGGGGCUAUUUCAGCGAGGGUGGACACAGUGGUUGCUGAAGGAUCUGGAGAGAGCUCCAGUGUGUCUGUUCAUGGUGUUUCUCUGGCUGUGGUGAAAGCUCUCACUGAGAGUAUGGAGCCCUGCUGCCCAGCCGCUCAAACCCCCAGCCCCGUCCUGACCCUAACUGCUUUCACCAUCUCCUACCAUAUCAGCACUUGCAGUCUGGAGGUGCGGAGCGAAAGCGCUUUA